GUGCUCACUUUGGCAGGACACAUGUUAAAGUUGGAAUAAUACAGAGAGGAUUAGCAUGAUACUGGGCAAGGAUGACAUGCAGACUCAAAGUAUGUCACAUUUAA
ensembl:snRNA U6 U6 spliceosomal RNA